GAUGAACGCUAGCUACAGGCUUAACACAUGCAAGUCGAGGGGCAGCGGUAUCGAAAGCUUGCUUUCGGUAGCCGGCGACCGGCGCACGGGUGAGUAACGCGUAUCGAACCUGCCUCAUACUCGGGAAUAGCCUUGCGAAAGUAAGAUUAAUGCCCGGUGUUUUCAGAGUCCCGCAUGAGGCUUUGAACAAAGAUUUAUCGGUAUGAGAUGGCGAUGCGCCCCAUUAGCUUGUUGGCGGGGUAACGGCCCACCAAGGCAUCGAUGGGUAAGGGUUCUGAGAGGAAGGUCCCCCACAUUGGAACUGAGACACGGUCCAAACUCCUACGGGAGGCAGCAGUGAGGAAUAUUGGUCAAUGGGCGGAAGCCUGAACCAGCCAAGUAGCGUGCAGGAAGACGGCCCUCCGGGUUGUAAACUGCUUUUAGUUGGGAAUAAAACGGGGCUCGUGAGCCCCCUUGCAUGUACCAUCAGAAAAAGGACCGGCUAAUUCCGUGCCAGCCGCCGCUGUAA
rnacentral:rRNA from 1 species